rnacentral:rRNA from 1 species
UAAAGUGGGGGAUCUUCGGACCUCACGCUAUCAGAUGAGCCUAGGUCGGAUUAGCUAGUUGGUGGGGUAAAGGCCUACCAAGGCGACGAUCCGUAACUGGUCUGAGAGGAUGAUCAGUCACACUGGAACUGAGACACGGUCCAGACUCCUACGGGAGGCAGCAGUGGGGAAUAUUGGACAAUGGGCGAAAGCCUGAUCCAGCCAUGCCGCGUGUGUGAAGAAGGUCUUCGGAUUGUAAAGCACUUUAAGUUGGGAGGAAGGGCAGUAAGUUAAUACCUUGCUGUUUUGACGUUACCAAC